GACGAACGCCGGCGGCGUGCCUAUACAUGCAAGUAGAAUGCUGAAGAGAGGAGCUUGCUCUUCUUGGAUGAGUUGCGAACGGGUGAGUAACGCGUAGGUAACCUGCCUUGUAGCGGGGGAUAACUAUUGGAAACGAUAGCUAAUACCGCAUAACAAUGGAUGACUCAUGUCAUUUAUUUGAAAGGGGCAAAUGCUCCACUACAAGAUGGACCUGCGUUGUAUUAGCUAGUAGGUGAGGUAACGGCUCACCUAGGCGACGAUACAUAGCCGACCUGAGAGGGUGAUCGGCCACACUGGGACUGAGACACGGCCCAGACUCCUACGGGAGGCAGCAGUAGGGAAUCUUCGGCAAUGGGGGCAACCCUGACCGAGCAACGCCGCGUGAGUGAAGAAGGUUUUCGGAUCGUAAAGCUCUGUUGUAAGUCAAGAACGAGUGUGAGAGUGGAAAGUUCACACUGUGACGGUAGCUUACCAGAAAGGGACGGCUAACUACGUGCCAGCAGCCGCGGUAAUACGUAGGGUGCGAGCGUUAAUCGGAAUUACUGGGCGUAAAGCGAGCGCAGACGGUUACUUAAGCAGGAUGUGAAAUCCCCGGGCUUAACCUGGGAACUGCGUUCUGAACUGGGUAGCUAGAGUAUGUCAGAGGGGGGUAGAAUUCCACGUGUAGCAGUGAAAUGCGUAGAGAUGUGGAGGAAUACCGAUGGCGAAGGCAGCCCCCUGGGAUGAUACUGACGUUCAUGCUCGAAAGCGUGGGUGGCAAACAGG
rnacentral:rRNA from 1 species